UACGUAGGGUGCGAGCGUUGUCCGGAAUUACUGGGCGUAAAGAGCUCGUAGGUGGUUUGUCGCGUUGUCCGUGAAAACUCACAACUCAAUUGUGGGCGUGCGGGCGAUACGGGCAGACUGGAGUACUGCAGGGGAGACUGGAAUUCCUGGUGUAGCGGUGGAAUGCGCAGAUAUCAGGAGGAACACCGGUGGCGAAGGCGGGUCCCUGGGCCGAUACUGACGCUGAGGAGCGAAAGCGUGGGGAGCGAACAGG
rnacentral:rRNA from 1 species